AUGAAUGGUCUGCAACCAUUAAGGAAACCAUCUUUGCAAGCAUUGAGGCAGAUGAACAAGCCAUGGAAUCUUGGGUUUUUGCUUGGAUGUAGUUUCAGAUGCUUUGUUCCCCUUACGAAGCAACGCAUAAACUAG
rnacentral:rRNA from 1 species